rnacentral:rRNA from 1 species
AUGAACGCUGGCGGCGUGCCUAAUACAUGCAAGUCGAGCGAACAGAUGAGGAGCUUGCUCCUCUGACGUUAGCGGCGGACGGGUGAGUAACACGUGGAUAAUCUACCUAUAAGACUGGGAUAACUUCGGGAAACCGGAGCUAAUACCGGAUAAUAUAUUGAACCGCAUGGUUCAAUAGUGAAAGACGGUUUUGCUGUCACUUAUAGAUGGAUCCGCGCCGCAUUAGCUAGUUGGUAAGGUAACGGCUUACCAAGGCAACGAUGCGUAGCCGACCUGAGAGGGUGAUCGGCCACACUGGAACUGAGACACGGUCCAGACUCCUACGGGAGGCAGCAGUAGGGAAUCUUCCGCAAAGGGCGAAAGCCUGACGGAGCAACGCCGCGUGAGUGAUGAAGGUCUUCGGAUCGUAAAACUCUGUUAUUAGGGAAGAACAAAUGUGUAAGUAACUAUGCACGUCUUGACGGUACCUAAUCAGAAAGCCACGGCUAACUACGUG